rnacentral:lncRNA from 1 species
CAAUCUCUUAGAGAUAACUCUAUCAAAGAGCAUAAACGAGUUAGAGAAGAGAACACCAAACCCCAAUGAGGAGGAUUAGAGAAGAGAUUUUUGCUAUUCGAUAGACGCAAAUAUUUAAGGCCAACCAGAUGUCCAAUUGAUGAAGGUAUUUCCUCGAUCGCACUACCACUUAAGGCAAUCGACUCCAAAUUCUUCUUCUGCUCCCCAAAUUCUAGAAUCUUUUUCAGAUUUUUGCAAUUAUCUAGAUGCAACUUCUGAAGGCCAACCAGAUGUCCAAAGGAUAAAGGUACUUCCUCGAUCGCACUACCAAUUAAGUCAAUGAACGCCAAAUUCUUCAUCUGCUCCCCAAAUUCUGGAAUCUUUUUCAGAUUUUUGCAAUUAUUUAGAUACAACUCCUUAAGGCCAACCAGAUGUCCAAUUGAUGAAGGUAUUUCCUCGAUCGCACUACCACUUAAGACAAUCGACUCCAAAUUCUUCAUCUGCUCCCCAAAUUCUGGAAUCUUUUCCAGAUUUUUGCAAUUAUCUAGAUGCAACUCAUAAAGGCUAACCAGAUGUCCAAUUGAUGAAGGUAUUUCCUCAAUCGCACUACCACUUAAGGCAAUCAACUCCAAAUUCUUCAUCUGCUCCCCAAAUUCUGGAAUCUUUUUCAGAUUUUUGCAAUUAUCUAGAUGCAACACCUUAAGGCCAACCAGAUGUCCAAUUGAUGAAGGUAUUUCCUCGAUCGCACUACCACUUAAGACAAUCAACUCCAAAUUCUUCAUCUGCUCCCCAAAUUCUGGAAUCUUUUUCAGAUUUUUGCAGUUAUCUAGAUGCAACACCUUAAGGCCAACCAGAUGUCCAAUUGAUUAAGGUAUUUCCUCGAUCGCACUACCAUUGAAGCUAAUCGACUCCAAAUUCUUCAUCUGCUCCCCAAAUUUUGGAAUCUUUUUCAGAUUUUUGCAAUUACGUAGAUGCAACACCUUAAGGCCAACCAGAUGUCCAAUUGAUGAAGGUAUUUCCUCGAUCGCACUACCACUGAAGCU